ensembl:lncRNA
GUGUUAUCUACUCACCCUCAUGUCACUCUGUGAAACCCAAAUAGGGAUGUAAGGCAGACUGUGAAAGUGAAUGGUGACUGAGACUGUCAAUCUGCCUAACAUCUGCUUUUCUGUUCCUCAGAAGAAAGUCAUUAUGAGGAUUGCUCAACUCCAUGCACCACCUAGCCUGACAUAACAUGCCUUUCACAUUCUGACAGCACGCAGGCGUGGCCUCCCUUCCUCGGCUCUGAAAUCCCCCAUUC